rnacentral:rRNA from 1 species
UACGUAGGGUGCAAGCGUUGUCCGGAAUUAUUGGGCGUAAAGAGCUUGUAGGCGGUUUGUCGCGUCUGCUGUGAAAUUUCGGGGCUCAACCCCGAACUUGCAGUGGGUACGGGCAGAACUAGAGUGUGGUAGGGGAGACUGGAAUUCCUGGUGUAGCGGUGAAAUGCGCAGAUAUCAGGAGGAACACCGAUGGCGAAGGCAGGUCUCUGGGCCAUAACUGACGCUGAGAAGCGAAAGCAUGGGGAGCGAACAGG